rnacentral:rRNA from 1 species
UACAGAGGGUGCAAGCGUUGUUCGGAAUUAUUGGGCGUAAAGCGCGUGUAGGCGGCUUGGUAAGUCGGGUGUGAAAUCCCUCAGCUCAACUGAGGAAGUGCGCCCGAAACUGCUUUGCUUGAGUGCCGGAGAGGAUGGCGGAAUUCCCCAAGUAGAGGUGAAAUUCGUAGAUAUCGGGAGGAACACCGGUGGCGAAGGCGGCGACCUGGACAGUAACUGACGCUGAGACGCGAAAGCGUGGGGAGCAAACAGG